rnacentral:rRNA from 1 species
CCUACGGGUGGCAGCAGUGGGGAAUAUUGCACAGUGGGGGAAACCCUGAUGCAGCGACGCCGCGUGAGCGAAGAAGGUUUUCGGAUUGAAAAGCUCUUUCGGAUGUGACGAUGAUGACGGUAGCAUCUAAAGAAGCCCCGGCUAACUUCGUGCCAGCAGCCGCGGUAAUACGAAGGGGGCAAGCGUUGUUCGGAAUUACUGGGCGUAAAGGGAGUGUAGGCGGUUUAGUAAGAUAGUGGUGAAAUCCCAGGGCUUAACUUUGGAAUUGCCAUUAUAACUAUUAGACUAGAAUUACAGAGAGGAUAGUGGAAUACCCAGUGUAGAGGUGAAAGUCGUAGAUAUUGGGUAGAACACCAGUGGCGAAGGCGACUAUCUGGCUGUACAUUGACGCUGAGGCUCGAAAGCAUGGGGAUCAAACAGGAUUAGAUACCCCUGUAGUC